UACGUAGGGGGCUAGCGUUGUCCGGAAUCAUUGGGCGUAAAGCGCGCGUAGGCGGCCCGGUAAGUCCGCUGUAAAAGUCAAAGGCUCAACCCUUUGAAUGUCAGUGGAUACUGCCGGGCUAGAGUCCGGGAGAGGCGAGUGGAACUCCUGGUGUAGCGGUGGAAUGCGCAGAUAUCAGGAAGAACACCGACGGCGAAGGCAGCUCGCUGGGACGGUACUGACGCUGGAGGCGCGAAAGCGUGGGGAGCGAACAGG
rnacentral:rRNA from 1 species